UGGGGAAUAUUGGACAAUGGGCGGAAGCCUGAUCCAGCCAUGCCGCGUGUGUGAAGAAGGCCUUUUGGUUGUAAAGCACUUUAAGCGAGGAGGAGGCUACUUGGAUUAAUACUCUAGGAUAGUGGACGUUACUCGCAGAAUAAGCACCGGCUAACUCUGUGCCAGCAGCCGCGGUAAUACAGAGGGUGCGAGCGUUAAUCGGAUUUACUGGGCGUAAAGCGUGCGUAGGCGGCUUCUUAAGUCGGAUGUGAAAUCCCUGAGCUAACUUAGGAAUUGCAUUCGAUACUGGGAAGCUAGAGUAUGGGAGAGGAUGGUAGAAUUCCAGGUGUAGCGGUGAAAUGCGUAGAGAUCUGGAGGAAUACCGAUGGCGAAGGCAGCCAUCUGGCCUAAUACUGACGCUGAGGUACGAAAGCAUGGGGAGCAAACAGG
rnacentral:rRNA from 1 species